rnacentral:rRNA from 1 species
GGCUCAGGAUGAACGCUAGCGGAAGGCUUAAUACAUGCAAGUCGAGCGGUAGGUGGCUUCGGCCAUUGAGAGCGGCGCACGGGUGAGUAACGCGUACAUGACCUGCCUGUCAGAAGGGAUAGCCCUGGGAAACUGGGAUUAAUACCCUAUGGUAUUGAUAUUAUGAAUGAUAUCAAUUAAAGUUGAGGCGCUGACAGAUGGAUGUGCGUCUGAUUAGCUAGUUGGUGGGGUAAAGGCCUACCAAGGCGACGAUCCAUAGCUGGUCUGAGAGGAUGAUCAGCCACACUGGGACUGAGACACGGCCCAGACUCCUACGGGAGGCAGCAGUGGGGAAUAUUGGACAAUGGGCGAAAGCCUGAUCCAGCAAUGCCGCGUGAGUGAUGAAGGCCUUAGGGUUGUAAAGCUCUUUUACCCGAGAUGAUAAUGACAGUAUCGGGAGAAUAAGCUCCGGCUAACUCCGUG